AUUGAACGCUGGCGGCAGGCCUAACACAUGCAAGUCGAGCGGAGCGGCGGACGGGUGAGUAAUACCUAGGAAUCAGCCUGGUAGUGGGGGAGAACGUUCGGAAACGGACGCUAAUACCGCAUACUAUCAGAUGAGCCUAGGUCGGAUUGGCUAGUGGGUGGGGUAAUGGACCACCAAGGCGACGAGCCGUACCUGGUCUGAGAGGAUGAUCAGUCACACUGGAACUGAGACACGGUCCAGACUCCUACGGGAGGCAGCAGUGGGGAAUAUUGGACAAUGGGCGAAAGCCUGAUCCAGCCAUGCCGCGUGUGUGAAGAAGGUCUUCGGAUUGUAAAGCACUUUAAGUGGGGAGGCGUUACCGACAGAAGAAGCACCGGCUAACUCUGUGCCAGCAGCCGCGGUAAUAC
rnacentral:rRNA from 1 species